AAGAUUGGCCACAGUUGUUACCUCAGGUGCCAAUCUUAAAAAAAAAAAAAAAAAAAGAAAGAAAAAGAAAAAAGCUGAACAAACUGAAAAUCAACAACUCCUUAAAUCCAUCAGAGAACUGAAGUCACAGGGCACAUCAUCACUCCGAUAACGGAAGGCAGGAAAAUACAGAGAAUCACAGCUUACCAGGGGCAGAACACACUGCUGGAGCCAGCAACUAGUAAAAACACCUGAAGGGCAGUUGGCUAAUUGUUGGCCUCAGCAUGCACUAGCUUGAGAAAGGAAACUCCUGGGGCCCCAGCUAAGGAAGGGAGCCUCCCUCCAGAUUUGUGUGUUUUACUCCAGGAGCCUCAUCAGGUUCUCAGGGUGAAGAUAAGAGGAAAAUCUCCUUCUGCUUCUUAAAUAAGACACAAAAAGUAUAACUAUAAAAGAAUGGAUUAAUAAACUGGAUUUCUUUACAAUUAGGAUUUUAUGUUUAUUAUAAGACCAUUGACCUGUGGGACUUUUGGCUACAGUGACAUGAAUCCUCCUUAUGGCGUGAAUCUUCUUUACAAAAGCAUAUAGUAGAUAGAAUAUACUAAAUUGCCCCCCCAAAAUUCUGGGCUCUGGAAGUCAAACAAAUCUAAAAUUAGUUUGUAGUGGUCACUGUCUAACUGAAUAAAUUUACUAAAUAUCUUUAAACCAUAUGCUUACAAUGGAUGAAGUAAACGGCAUGUAAAUUGUACCUCAAGAAAAUUUUUUUUUAAAGAAGUAAUAAGAGAGCAAAAAGGGAAGUUAUAGUCUGGGAGAAGAUGUUUGCAAUACAUGUAUAAGAUAAAGACUCAUAUUCAGAAUAUAUAAAGAACUUCUAUAAAUAAAAAAGAUGUGAACUUACUAUAAGCAAAAGACAAGGAUGCCUAAAGAAUGAGGAUAUCCAAAUAGCCAAAAGCACAUGAAAAAUGGUUAUCAUUAAUUUUCAGAAAGCUACAAAUUAGAACCACAAUGAGAUACUGAUACCACUACACACACACAAGAAUGGCUAAAAUGAAAACAAAUAAGCAAAAACCUUAACGACCAGAUUUGGGCAAGAAGGUGGAGUAACUGAAACUCUCAUUGAUAUUGACACAACCACUUUGUAAAACUGAUUUGCAAGAUCUACCAAAGCUAAGAAUAGACUUACUCUACAAUCCAUCAGUUCUAUUCUAGUAAUAGACACAAUAUAAAUAUGCAAAUAUGUACACCAAAAUACAUGUACAGGAAUGUUCAUAACAAUGUUAUUCAUAAUAGCUCUGAACUGGUAAUAACAUCAUCACUAAGAGAAAGAGUAAAUUCUUGUAUAUUCUUACAACAAAGUACUAUAAAACAGUGAAAAAGGGAGGACUACUUUCCCCCACAACAAUAUGGAGAAAUCAUGUGGACAUAAUUUCAAAUGAAUUAAUACAGAUACAAUUUAGUAUAUACUGUAUGAUUUCAUUUAUAUAAAGUUCAAAAGGUAAACUAACAUCCAAUGGAAAAAGUAUGUCUAGGGAUGGGUAUGAGGAAAGAGUCUGGAAUUUAUGUAAUGUUCUAUGUAUCUUGAACUGAACAUUUAAGAUGUAUGUACUUUGAAAUACUUAUGUCAUAUUUUAAUAAAAACUAAGGCAAAAAUAUACACAAUGAGAAUGACAAAAAGAUACACUACAGAAAAGCAAAAAGAAGAAAAUAAAACCAUCCAUAAUCCACCCAACAAUCACUGUUACCAUUUUUCUUUAUAAUCAUUCAUGCUUAAAAAAUCUUUUAACCUCGGGAAUAUAAUCCAUCUGACAUAGUCUUUGAAUGAGAUCUGCCUCUUCCAAAGUGUUAUCUUUUUCAUCUCAUGUACCUGUAGCUCACAGGUUCACUCAAUUUACCUUCCAAUUUUCAGAUUCCCAAUAUGCGAUAGAAUUCUUGCAUUAAAGACUGUGAUACUGCUGACACAAGGUUAUCUAGCCUCUACCCAAGCAUUUCUAGUAAUAAGGGACUUUCUACCUCACAGGACUGCACACUCCAUUGUGGUAUAAUCCUAAUUGUUAAAAAGUUUUUCCUUAUCUUAGCUUUAUGCUAAUAAAUUCAACAACUUAGAUGAAAUGGAGACAUUUCUUGAAAGACACAAACUACCAAAGCUUACUCAAGAAAAAAUAUGUAACCUGAAUAGCCCUAUAUAUAUUUUUAAAAAUUGAAUUUAUAUUUAAAAUUUUCCCACCAAGAGAAUUUCAGGCCCAGUUGACUUCAUUUGGGACUUCUACCAAACAUUUAAGAAAGAAAUAAUACCAUUUGUACAUAAACUCUUCCAGAAAAUUGAAGAGUGAAUCCUUUUAAACUUACCCUAUGAGGCCAGAAUUACUCUGAUACCAAAGCCAAAUAAAGACACUUCAACAAAAGAAAAUUAUACACCCAUAUCUCUCAUGAACAUGGAGGCAAAAGUCUUAAACAUUUUAAGAAAUUUAAUGCAACGAUCUAUCAAAAGGACAAUGCAUCAUGACCAAAUGAGGUUUAUCCCAAGAAUGCAAUGUUGAGUUAGCAUUUUGAAAUCAAUCAGUGUAAUUUAUAUUAACAGAUGAGAAAAAAAGCCAUAUGAUCAUCUUAGUUAAUGCAGAAAAAGCAUGUGAAAAAAGCCAACAUCCAUUCCUGAUAAAAACACUCAACAACUAGGAAGAGAAGGAAACUUACUCAACCUGAUAAAGGCCAUCUAUUACAAACCCCCACAGCUAACACUUAGUGUUGAAAGACUAAAUGCUUUCCCACUAUGUUCAGGCAGGAGGCAAAGAUAUCUUGGGUCAUGACUUCUAUUCAACACUGUAUUGAACGUUCUAGCCACUGAAAUAAGGCAAGAAAAAAGAAACGAAAUGGAAUAUCAGUUUUGAAAAGUAGAGGUAAAAUCUUCUUUAUACAAAGAUGACAUUAUUGUCUUUGUAGAAAACCUGAAGAAAUCUACAAUGAGUUGAGCAAGGUUGCAGGAUACAAGGUAAAUAUACUAAAAUCUAUUAUAUUUUUAUAAUAACAAUGAACAAUUAGAAAUUGAAAUAAAAAGCAAUAUCUUUACAAUAGUAUCAAAAUAUAUAAAAUACUUGGGAGUAAAUCUGAAAAAAGAUGUAUAAGACCGCUACAAUAAAAACUGCAAACACUGCUGAGAGAAAUUAAGAAGACCUAAACAUAUGAAGAGAAAUACCAUCUUCAUGAAUUGGAAUACUCAAUAUUGUUAAGAUAUCAAUUCUCCCCAAAUUGAUCUAUAAAUUCAACACAAUCCCAAUUAAAAUCCCAAGAGGCUUUUUUCUUUUUUUGUGGAAAUUUACAGGCUCAUUGUAAAGUUCAUUUGGAAAUUCAAAGGAUCUAGAAGAGCCGAAACAACAGGGAAAAAGAAAAACAAAGCUGGAGAACUUCCAUUACCUGAAUUCUAUACAAAUUGUAAAUCUACAGUAAUCAAGACAGUGACAUAAUAUGUCAUGAUAGAAAAAUACAUCAAUGAGAACAGAAUAGAGUCCAGAAAUAAACCCAUACAUAUGUGGUUUUUGACAAAAUUCAAAGGCAAUUCAGUAGAGAAAGGAUAUUGUUUUCAACAAAUGUUACUGGAACAAUUAAAUAUCCAUUAAAAAAAACCCUUCAAUUCGUACCUUUCACCAGGAUCAUCGUUCUCAAUGUAAAAUUUAAAACUGUAAAAAUUCCAGAAGAAAAUUUCUAGGAGAAAAUUUUUGUGCCCUUGGGUUAGGAAAAAGUUCUUAGAUACAUUGCCAAAAGCACAGUCCACAAAAGGAGAAACUGAUAAAUUGGACUUCAUUUGAAAGUAAGGUCUUCUGCUCUUCAAAAGAUGCUGUUAAGAGAAUAAAAAGACAACCCAUAGACUGGGAGUAAAUAUUUUCAAAUCACAUAAAUUGCAUUUAUCCAGUGUGUAUAGAGAACUCUCAAAAUGCAGUAACAGGAAAACAAACAACUCCACAAAAAAUGGGCUAAAGAUUAGAACACAUAUAUAUGUAUGUGGAUAUACAUAAACAUACAUUCCAAAUAAGUAUAUGAAAAAAAAUGCUCAACAUUAUUAGUAUUAAGGAAACGCAAAUUAAAACCACAAAGAGAUGCCACUCUGUAUUCAUAAGAAUGUCUGAAAUUAAAAAGGUUGAACAUACCAAGCAUUGGGAAGUAGGUGGAGCAUAUGGAACUCUCAAACGCUGAUUUUGGGAAUAUAAAAUGCCACUUUGGAAAACAGUUCGGAAUUUUCUUAUAAAGCUAAACAUACCCCUUCUAUGUGACCCAGUCGUUCCACUCCUAGGUAUGUAUCCAAGUGAAAUGAAAGCUUAUGACCAUAUAAAAGCUCAUAUAUGAGUGUUCAUAGAAGACUUGUUUGUAUGCCCCCUAAGCUGGAAAUAACCCAAACACCUCUCUGAGUUGUUUUUACUCACAACACCUGUGACACCAAAUGUAUGUUUUUUUUCCACACCAAUAAGCAGUUUUCCAACUCUCCGGACACCAACCAGGUGACUUACAAUUUGAUUCAAUUCUGACACUAACUACCUGGAGUUAGCACAGACCUCAUAGGUUAAGGGCUCGGACACAGACGACUGCACCAAAUUCAGACACCAAUUGCAAGUUCCUGCCUCCCAUAUUUCUGACUGAGAAAAAUCUGGGAGGUAGCACAUGUGUUCAUUAUCUUGAUUGUGGUGAUGGUUUCAUGAGUGUGUAUACAUAUAUAUCUCAAUAGUUAACAAAUUGUGCGUUUUAAAUGUGCCAUUUAUCAUAUGUCAAUUAUAUCUCAAUUAAGCUGUUCUUUCUUUAAAAAAAAAAGUGAGCACUAAAUUUCACAUAGCAGAAUGGUCAUUACAUCCUAAGGGGAUGCGUUAGUCAACUGGAGCGAAGACGAUAAGAUAAAGUCCCACGCACCACCAUCACCACCAACUGGGCAGACCUGGGCUCCCAUCGUUUUCUACUGAACUUAUCCCCAGAAAGCUUAAAGUUUGGGUCUUUCGACACAUUCUGUUCAGAAGAUACUCAUAGAAUGACCCUGGAAACGCCAAUCACCCUAUUUCUAUCUAUCACUCCUGAAACUGUGCUUUCACUUUAAAAAAAACCCUGCUAUAUCCUGGGAGGCACAGCAGGAGAGGGGCAAUGGUACCCAGGAGGGAAGGCUAAUAAGAUACAGCAUGAGCUUUGGAGCGAGAUGACGCCCUAUACUAGCAACAUAACCUUGGGCAAAUCACUUUACCUCUCUGAGCCGCAAUUUUCUCAUUUUAAAUAAAAUUUAACAAUUCUUACCUGACAGGGUUGUCUUGAAGGUCUAUAUAAAAGAAUGAAACAAUAUCUGGUUGAAGGAGGAGCUCAACAAGAAAUGUCUCUCUCCUUUUCUGCUGUUGUUUGAAGCCCCUCCUCCAGCCAGUGAUUCUGCACAUUCCCUUCGUCAUCAUGCUUUCUCGGGACUCCAGGAUCCAAACCAGUGAAACCCUGGGCCGGGGAAGUGGAGUGCGCGAACCUAACCACUCGGCCACAGGGCCGGACCCCCAGUGCACUUUUAAAGGUAACCAGGUAAGUCGGAUGCUCUUCUCUUACUGAGAACCAUGGAUCUAGUCUGACGUUUCACACGGAAGGACACUGUAUCCCCAAG
ensembl:lncRNA